UACGUAGGGUGCAAGCGUUGUCCGGAAUUAUUGGGCGUAAAGAGCUCGUAGGUGGUUUGUCGCGUUGUUCGUGAAAACUCACAGCUUAACUGUGGGCGUGCGGGCGAUACGGGCAGACUGGAGUACUGCAGGGGAGACUGGAAUUCCUGGUGUAGCGGUGGAAUGCGCAGAUAUCAGGAGGAACACCGAUGGCGAAGGCAGGUCUCUGGGCUGACACUGACGCUCAUGCACGAAAGCGUGGGGAGCGAAA
rnacentral:rRNA from 1 species